rnacentral:rRNA from 1 species
UUUUACAAUGUAGAGUUUGAUCCUGGCUCAGGAUGAACGCUAGCUACAGGCUUAACACAUGCAAGUCGCAGGGUAACAUGAGGAAAGCUUGCUUUCCUUGAUGACGACUGGCGCACGGGUGAGUAACGCGUAUCCAACCUUCCCAUAACUACGGGAUAACCCGUUGAAAGACGGCCUAAUAC